AUGUUGAUGGUCGUCAAGACGUUCAUGGACUGGACGGUGUCAUGGCUACCAAUGUACGGAGAGGCGAAGCUGCUUCUCGUCAUCUACCUCUGGCACCCCAGCACAUGGGGUGCGGGGCACGUGUACGAUGGCUUCCUCCAUCCGCUGGUGGCGUGGCAUGAGGCCGACAUCGACCGGGGCCUGCUUGACCUAAGGGCUAGGGCGAGGGACAUGACGACGUCACAACUCAAGGCGGCGGCUGCCAUCGGUCAAGUGUGGCUAGUCAAGGCUGCCCGUUGUGUCCCGUCGUAG
rnacentral:rRNA from 1 species